rnacentral:rRNA from 1 species
UACGGAGGGUGCGAGCGUUGUCCGGAAUCACUGGGCGUAAAGGGCGCGUAGGUGGCGGUCCAAGUCAACGGUGAAAGCUCGGGGCUCAACCCCGAGUCGGCCGUCGAUACUGGGUUGCUCGAGCACUGUAGAGGCAGAUGGAAUUCCGGGUGUAGCGGUGGAAUGCGUAGAGAUCCGGAGGAAGACCGGUGGCGAAGGCGGUCUGCUGGGCAGUUUCUGACACUGAUGCGCGACAGCGUGGGGAGCAAACAGG